rnacentral:rRNA from 1 species
CGAGUGCCAGCCGUUAUUCGGGAUUUCUGGGCGUAAAGCGUACGCAGGCUUGUUUGUUAAGCGAGAUGUGAAAGCCCCGGGCUCAACCUGGGAACUGCAUUUCGAACUGGCAAACUAGAGUGUGAUAGAGGGUGGUAGAAUUUCAGGUGUAGCGGUGAAAUGCGUAGAGAUCUGAAGGAAUACCGAUGGCGAAGGCAGCCACCUGGGUCAACACUGACGCUCAUGUACGAAAGCGUGGGGAGCAAACGGGAUUAGAUACCCCGGUAGUCCACGCCGUAAACGAUGUCUACUAGAAGCUCGGAGCCUCGGUUCUGUUUUUCAAAGCUAACUCAUUAAGUAGACCGCCUGGGGAGUACGGCCCCAAGGUUAAAACUUAAAUGAAUUGACUGGGGCCCCCACAAUCGGGGGAGCAAGUGGUUUAACUAUCAACAAACUCGAAGAAC